AACGAACGCUGGCGGCAGGCUUAACACAUGCAAGUCGAACGCCCCGCAAGGGGAGUGGCAGACGGGUGAGUAACGCGUGGGAACGUACCUUUCAGUUCGGAAUAACUCAGGGAAACUUGUGCUAAUACCGGAUACGCCCGUAAGGGGAAAGAUUUAUCGCUGAAAGAUCGGCCCGCGUUGGAUUAGCUAGUUGGUGGGGUAAUGGCCUACCAAGGCGACGAUCCAUAGCUGGUCUGAGAGGAUGAUCAGCCACACUGGGACUGAGACACGGCCCAGACUCCUACGGGAGGCGGCAGUGGGGAAUAUUGGACAAUGGGCGAAAGCCUGAUCCAGCCAUGCCGCGUGAGUGAUGAAGGCCCUAGGGUUGUAAAGCUCUUUCACCGAUGAAGAUAAUGACGGUAGUCGGAAAAGAAGCCCCGGCUAACUUCGUGCCAGCAGCCGCAGUAA
rnacentral:rRNA from 1 species